rnacentral:rRNA from 1 species
GGACCCGCACAAGCGGUGGAUUAUGUGGAUUAAUUCGAUGCAACGCGAAAAACCUUACCUACCCUUGACAUGUGCGGAACGGGGUAGAGAUACCUCGGUGCCCGAAAGGGAACCGCAACACAGGUGCUGCAUGGCUGUCGUCAGCUCGUGUCGUGAGAUGUUGGGUUAAGUCCCGCAACGAGCGCAACCCUUGCCAUUAGUUGCUACAUUCAGUUGGGCACUCUAAUGGGACUGCCGGUGACAAACCGGAGGAAGGUGGGGAUGACGUCAAGUCCUCAUGGCCCUUAUGGGUAGGGCUUCACACGUAAUACAAUGGCCGGUACAGAGGGCUGCCAACCCGCGAGGGGGAGCAAAUCCCAGAAAGCCGGUCGUAGUCCGGAUUGUUCUCUGCAACUCGAGAGCAUGAAGUCGGAAUCGCUAGUAAUCGCGGAUCAGCAUGUCGCGGUGAAUACGUUCCCGGGUCUU